CACACACACACACAGAAACACACACACACACACACGCACACAUUCUCCCUCUUUUAUCUCUAUCCUGCACAUAUCAACACACCCACACACACACACACACAUGACAUUCUCACCCAGCCUCUGUGACCCAGUCUGUCUGUGUUCUUAUUUAUCAGGUUGUGUCUGUGUGCCUGUUAAAGAGACCAUGCCUUUGUGUGUUGGGGUUGUUUGUGCCCAGUGAUGCGAUGCCCCCCAGCCAGUAACUGCCAAUAAUCUUGCCAUACAGUGAUCCACUUUGCUGUAUACCCCAGAAAGAGUCCAGAAACGGAGGCUAACUUGUAUUAAAUCCACCAUCGCACUUCGGAGUAGUGACAUGAAACUGCUCACUUCUGAGCCAACUUACAAGAGGAAAAAAAGCACAAAAACAAGGAAAAAAAAAAAAAAGGUUGUAGAUGUAUUUAGUCAGCACUGAUCAUCUCUGUCAUGUUUGUUUUUUUCUAUAGUUUGUUUCUGUGGUAGAUAUUUGUUUGAGAUUAUACGGAAUAUUAUUGUAUAUGAUUUUUAAUUUCUCUGGUGUGCCGGAUUUGAUGAUGACAAUGAAGACGAACCUGAUGACUAUCAUGAUAAUUAUUUUAUUGACAGUGACAAUGAAGCAGUACUGUGAGCAGCACUGAGGUGUUGUGUGUUUUAUUUGGAUGCUGAGUCUGAAAGGAAAUGGACAGGAAGAGAAGGACUAGGAGUGACUGAACUCAUACAGACUGAGGUUCAAAAAGAGAUUCUGCUUUUCUCCUGCUACUGUGAAGGACCCCGCCGUCCUGCGGUCAUCAGAUGAAAACACAAUCAUGUCCCUGCUACGUGUACAUAACCUUGAUGCUUACAUGUAAUUUAAGUGCAGUAGCUGCAUGACGACACAGCCUCUGUGUGUGUACAGAAGUAGCGACGUGUGAAUUUGUACAGUACAUGCAAGUGUGUGUGUGCUUGUGUCCGCGAAGAAAUCUGUCUGUCGUCACGCAAAAAAAGCAACACGUGCAUGCACCCUCCAACAACUGCCCAGUACACACAUACACUGCACACACUACACACACGCAAACACACUCCAGCAGUUGUUCACCAUUGUCCACAUUGUCCUGAGCUCUGCCUGUCACUCCGCAUGGAGACUUUGCUCUAUGUCAACUUUCUUAUUCUAAUAAACCACUCAGACGUUGAUCUCCAAGGUGU